UAGCUCAGUGGUAGAGUGCAUGCCUACCAUGCAUAAGGUCCUGGGUUCAAUUCCCAU
rnacentral:tRNA from 1 species